AAUGAACCAUCAAAUAUUUGAAAAGUGGUUUGAAGAUAAACUAUUGAAGAAUAUCCCACCAGACUCAAUAAUUGUGAUGGAUAAUGCAUCAUACCAUUCCAGAAGGCAAGAAGUUUUGCCCACUAGCAAUUGGAGAAAAGGAGAUAUGAUUACCUGGCUAACAAAUCAUGGUAUUCUUUUACCGGCUAGAUGUAUUAAGCAAAUCUGUAUGCUCUCAUUAAGAAACAUAAGCAAAAAUAUAAAAAAUAUGUAACAGACAAAAUGGCUAGAGCAGAAGGACAUGAAGUUGUAAGACUAUCUCCUUAUCAUUGUGAACAAAAUCCAAUAGAAAUGGCAUGGUCACAAGUCAAACAUUAUGCUAAAAGUAACAAUAAAGAUUUCACACUAACAGCACUACAAAACUAGUAGAUGAAGGAUUUCAUGAAGUAACUCCCCAAAGGUGGUCAGAUCUAAUAAAACACACUCAUGAAAAAGUGGAAGAUGCGUAUUUCGCAGCUGAUAGAUUAGAAAAUUGGAGGCAAGUUGAAGAAUUCAUCAUUCAUGUUGAUGAAGAAGAUGAUGAAGAUGAAUUUGAUAUGGAGGAGAGUGACAUCAGUGAUUCUGAUAGCUCAGAUGACUCAGAUGUUGAUAGUUAGAGGCUAAACAAUGGGGAAACAGUCCACUGCUUCAUUGCAGUAAAGGGCUUGUGAGUUAAUACCCACUUGAAGAAUACCGUUAAAAUUAGGUGGGGAAACAGUCCACUGCUUAAUGCUAGAGGACUAAAACAGCCCUCUGUGCUUAAUGCAGUAGAGGGCUUGUGAGUGAAUACCUGCUUUAUUUGUCGAUUAAUCUUCCAUGGCCUUUUUGUGAAAAUGCUGUCGUUUCUCAACAUAGCAGCCUCAUAGGGUGAUAGGGUAAGGGGCCAGUGAUGCAGUGUCACCUAUUCGCGAUGGUACUGGCCAUUACCCUUGUCUAGGGUGCAAGAACACUGCUAUAUUUACUAUUUUUCAUUGAGAAAUUAAUCAUUUUUAAAUAAAAAUUAAAUUUUAUUAAAAGGUGUGAAAAAUUAAUUUAACCACGUGUUAAUGACAUGCAAAUAUUAUGCAUGCAUGACGCUUUUGUGAUGUCAUCAAUUAGAAAUAAUACGUAAUGGCAGCUCUCUUUCAUCUGCACCAGAAAAACUCUUUUAGAACCUUCCAGAGUACCUAGAGACUCCAAAAUUGGUACAGAUUUUCAGAAGAACCUGUUAUGUAAGUAUACCAAGUUUCAAAUAGCUAGCCUAAGUAACAAAAAAGUUAAAGGGGGUGGUGGUGGUUUCUUCUCAACUGAAACUGACUAUAUCUUGAUACAGAUCUUGCCUAUCCUGUGUACUUGUUGACACAAGUACAAUAAUUAUUAUUAGCGGCUGGUUGAAUUAGCAUUUAUAAGUACACUGGCUAAAAUUAAGUGUCGCAAUUAAUACCCACCCUAAGGUAGUACCAAUGCAAAAUAUUCUAGCUGUAAUCAAUGGAGCUGGCCAAGGGUCUAUCACCAAAAUUGCCAGUUAAGUCAGGAUUGACUUGUGUUGUGAGUUUCACAUACCUUUCCUAGCUCUACUUAGUUUCAUUUUCAUUUAAUGCUUGUUAGUCAUUAUGUUAGCUGUUGGCACUAAUCAUUAUUACAGUGAUGUGGCAUGGUACAUAAAUUCUUUAUGUAAAAGUUAAACCUGACCUUUUCUGUCUCUGCCUUAAACUGUGCCUUUUUUCCAUUAAUAUUACCCUCUCCUAAAUGCUUUUGUUACAGUGAUAGUUAAUCUUAUGUUUAUGACCUGGCUACAAUUGUCCGUUCUUCACUUAUGGCCAAUAUACAUGCAAAGUAGCGCAUUGGGUCAAUGUUCUCAUAGUCAUUGUCUACAUCGUGUAGCACUGGGUUGUGAUUGAGGUCACUGAAACAACUCUGCUUUUAAAUUGUUUUUAGGAUGAGGAUGCCAUCAAUGCUGAUGUGCCUCUAGCUAAUGACUCGAUCUCCUGACAAGCCUGUAUCAAGCUAUGAGUAAGUUACAAAUUAUUGCAAUGUGUACACUGCAAUGAUGAAAUGAUGACAUUAGUGCAUGUUAUGGUAAUGCUGAAUGUGCAAAUUAAUACAUAAUGAUAUCUUUAGGUUUCUUUAAUCUUCUAUAGUGCUCCAAUGGUUCCAUUACUGCAAGAAUAUCAGACAUCAUCCUCCAUUUUGGAUACUAGAGAUUCGGAAACAAUUGGAAAGGUUCAGAAAAGUUUGUUUUCAUGAAAUUUAACCAUAGUCCCUGUACUGCAUGUCGUACUUUGGUCUAGUUUGUGAGCAACUAUGGCAACUAGCUGCUUAUUUGGAGGUUCAAUCCUUUAUUGUUUAUAGGUAAACCUAUCGUUUAUGACAGAGUGCAAACUACGUCACCUCAUGUUGAAUGCAAUAGUGAUCGUGAAAUCAAGAUUUUAAAGAUGCCUUCAGUCAACUCAGAAAAAAUUUGGUGGAUUGUCACAAGUCAUUACUAUAGUUUGGAAGAGGAUGAGUUAGUUACAACUGCUUUGUCGCAGUUCAGAAGGCAGUCAAUGGAUUCCACACCCCCUCUAUCCAGUCCUAGUAGUUGUCAGAGAGAGAAAACCAGGAAAGGUUACCACUUCUCACUUAAUACCAAAUGGCAGUACAGUAGCCAUGACCAUCUGUUCAGUUUGGGUCUCUUUAGAAUGAUGGGUCUUUAUGCAUGAUCAAAUGACUGAGGAUAACGUAAGGAGGGAGGUCAAAACUGUAUUUGAUGGACUAAUGAGAGUACAGGCCACCAGAUACCCUGCCCCCUACAUUUAUCAAAAUUCAUGUUUAGUAUCAGAUUGUGACAAAUAUCCUCUAUUGAGAAAAGCUACAUAUAUGGUCCUUGACUUCAAAAUGACUGUUGAAAAACAAUGUCAAAAAGAAACAUUUAGUAGGAACUGCAUGGGCUAUAUAGCAGCAUAGAUUAAUUGAAUAAGCAACACAUUGCAAGGAGACAGUUGGUUUGAAACACGUCUUAUGUGAUUUAGACAAAAAUACAGGUACUUGAGAUUUUAUUGCAUGUAUACUAAUUGAUAAAUGCUGCUGUGAACAGAAAUGACUGCUCUCAGGUGCCUUGCUUAUUUUCUAACAAAGUCAGAAAAAAAAUUAAGGAUUACCUCAGAUGCUGUGGACAUUCCAUUUUGUUUUAGAUGCAUCACCCUAAAAUAUUUAUUUUGUACUUUUAAUUAAUCAAUUUUUGUAGCAUUGUACAUCACCUGAAGAAGCUGUGGACACAAGCAAUAAUCACUCAUAUAUUAUAAAAUAUGUUGACAGUAAGUUCUACCCCAAUUCUUUAUUGCGAUUGAACAGAA
rnacentral:lncRNA from 1 species